GGCUUCCUGGUGCUUACCACACACUGAAUUCUUACACUGACUAUAUAGAAAGGGAACUAGAGUAAGCCUACCUAUAUACACCUCAUCCCAGACUUGUGCCUGGUCUAUAUUGUGAAUGUGCGAACAUAC
ensembl:snoRNA